AACUAGUGAGUUUUCAUAUCCAACUUUAAUCAUUCAACUUAUUUAAAAAAAAAUUUAUGAUUAGUAUUUUUAUUGUUAUUAGAUAAUAAAAUAUAAAUAGUAUUUUAUGUCUAGCUUAUGUUUUUUAUUUUUUUUAAACAAUAAAUAAGAUGGACGAUUAAAAUUGGAAAAAAAAAACUUAUGGCUUCACUUAUU
rnacentral:pre_miRNA from 1 species